UGGAAAACCAGACAAAAACUGAGUGUACAACAGCAAGUUAUUUCAUGAAGAUAAAAGUUAGAGAGUUUCUUACUGAUGGAAGAUCUAUGGUCACACCGAAAAUGUUCUGACCAGGAAUCGAACUUGUGCCUCUUACACUGGCAGCUCAGUCUUGGACGCUGGACCAUCAGGGAAGUCUGUUGAUCUACAUUUUUUAAAGCUAUGGG
rnacentral:lncRNA from 1 species